GCUCAGUAGUGCUUCGCUACUACCGUAGCUGGCGGAAAUAGCUUAAUUGGUAGAGCGUAGCCUUGUCAAGGCUGAGGUUGAGGGUUCAAGUCCCUCCUUCCGCUUCCGGCUUCGUCG
rnacentral:tRNA from 1 species